AUUGAACGCUGGCGGCAGGCUUAACACAUGCAAGUCGAGCGAGCGGCGGACGGGUGAGUAAUGUCUGGGACACUGCCUGAUGGCGGGGGAUACCUACUGGAACCGGUAGCUAAUCCCGCAUACCUUCAGCUUUGCCCAGAUGGGAUUAGCUAGUAGGUGGGGUAAUGGCUCACCUAGGCGACGAUCCCUAGCUGGUCGGAGAGGUUGACCAGCCACACUGGAACUGAGACACGGUCCAGACUCCUACGGGAGGCAGCAGUGGGGAAUAUUGCGCAAGGGGCGCAAGCCUGAUGCAGCCAUGCCGCGUGUGUGAAGAAGGCCUUCGGGUUGUAAAGCACUGUCAGCGAGGAGGCGUUACUCGCAGAAGAAGCACCGGCUAACUCCGUGCCAGCCGCCGCGGUAAUAC
rnacentral:rRNA from 1 species